rnacentral:sRNA from 1 species
GGCUGGUGGUGUUGUUUAAUUAGAAUCCACACUGCAUAUAGUCUUGAGGCUUCGGGGAGGAAAAGGAGGUCCUAGCAUGAAAAUCGAGCC